UAAAUCUUGAAGUUCUAAUCAUCUGAGGAGGAUGUUCACCUUUUCUGCUAGUAAAAUUUUGCGAGAAGUUAACCUUUUCUGUUAAGAGUUAAAUUAGCAGUUCACUAUUCCUUGUCACAAAGUUCACUUUUAAAAUGUUGGGAACAUAAGUUCAAUAAAUGAACUACAAAAAUGGUUCACUUUAACCACAAUUUGUGCAUGAAGUAUUUUUAAAUCAAGGAAUUCACUUCAUAUGUACCUGAAGUUUUCCUCUUUUUAUCCAGGGUUUUGUCUCGUUAAUUUUGUUGGCAAGUUCACAUCUUCCUUGCAUAAAGUCCGCCUUUUGUCUCUAUGGAAGUUCAAAUUACAUUAUCAGGAAGUUCAGUUUGUGUGCAAAGUUCAUUUUUUAUGAGUCUAGUUUGUUCGAGAAGUAUAGUGUGCAUAUAGUAUAGAAUUAUAAUGGGUCAGGAAGAGUUCAUUUUUCUGUUUAGGAAGUUCAGAUAUUGCAAUUGGAAAGUUCAGUUAUUAUUUUGUACUAAUCUAUUGGCUACAACCAUGGCGUUGUUCUUUAUCAGCUGGGAAGGCACAUAAGAGAAGCCUUCAAGAUGACACCAUGGAAUAAGCAAUGGCGGUGGCUGCCUGUAGUCAUGGGAAGUUCAGUAACAGAUCAGUUGUUCAGCAGUAGUAGUGUGGUGGCUCGUCUAGAUCUUGGUAUUGUCGAGCGAGCAAACGGUGCGUGAGGCCCUUCCAACGAAUAAAUGGAUGCUUGUGUGUGAUACUUGAAUGGAUAAGCAAAAGAGCAACAAUAUAUGGGAAAGAAAUUUAUAUGUUAUACGGUGGAUCAAAGAACUAAAAAAACUAUGUGUGGUGUUUCUAUACCUCGAGGGCGUGGGUGGUCCUGGCAGCUCGUUUCAAUCAGCAUAAU